rfam:Fukomys damarensis contig121443, whole genome shotgun sequence.
GGGGGUGUAGCUCAGUGUAGAGCAUGUGCUUCACAUGCAUGAGGCCCUGGGUUCAAUCCCCAGCACCUCCA